rnacentral:rRNA from 1 species
UGGGGAAUCUUCCGCAAUGGACGAAAGUCUGACGGAGCAACGCCGCGUGAGUGAAGAAGGUUUUCGGAUCGUAAAACUCUGUUUUCAGGGACGAAUGUGCGAUAUGUGAAUAAUGUAUUGUAAUGACGGUACCUGAGUAGAAAGCC